CAAGGAAUAGUUUAUGUAGAAUUCCAGCUUUGGG
rnacentral:tRNA from 1 species